rnacentral:rRNA from 1 species
UAAAAACCCCGACUUCGGAAGGGGUGUAUUUAUUAGAUACAAAACCAAUGCCCUUCGGGGCUCUUUGGUGAUUCAUGAUAACUAUACGAAUCGCACGGCCUUGCGCCGGCGAUGGCUCAUUCAAAUUUCUUCCCUAUCAACUUUCGAUGUUUGGGUAUUGGCCAAACAUGGUUGCAACGGGUAACGGAGGGUUAGGGCUCGACCCCGGAGAAGGAGCCUGAGAAACGGCUACUACAUCCAAGGAAGGCAGCAGGCGCGCAAAUUACCCAAUCCCGACUCGGGGAGGUAGUGACAAUAAAUACUGAUACAGGGCCCUUUCGGGCCUUGUAAUUGGAAUGAGUACAAUUUAAAUCCCUUAACGAGGAACAAUUGGAGGGCAAGUCUGGUGCCAGCAGCCGCGGUAAUUCCAGCUCCAAUAGCGUAUAUUAAAGUUGUUGUGGUUAAAAAGCUCGUAGUUGAACCUUGGGCCUGGCUGGCCGGUCCGCCUCACCGCGUGCACUGGUCCGGCCGGGCCUUUCCCUCUGUGGAACCCCAUACCUUUCACUGGGGCGUGGCGGGGAAACAUGACAUUUACUU